UACGUAGGAUGCAAGCGUUGUCCGGAUUUACUGGGCGUAAAGCGCGCGCAGGCGGCACUCUAAGUACGCUGUGAAAUAUCCCGGCUCAACCGGGAGGGUGCAGUGUAGACUAGAGAGCUUGAGGUCGGUAGAGGGGGGUAGAAUUGCUGGUGUAGCGGUGAAAUGCGUAGAGAUCAGCAGGAAUACCCGUGGCGAAGGCGGCCCCCUGGGCCGUACCUGACGCUGAGGCGCGAAGGCUAGGGGAGAGAACGGG
rnacentral:rRNA from 1 species